GGCACGGAGUAGGUAGUUCGGAUUAGGCUCUCUAUUCCAAACUACCGGUAGUACGGAAUAGAGAGCCUAAUCCGAACUACCUACUCCGUGCCAUG
rnacentral:pre_miRNA from 1 species